CUACUGCUCGAAGGACUCAAGCUGGUUGGCCAAACGCUGGCAGAUGGGUUCACUAUCAACAGGGCUGAAUGGGACAUUGAGUACAACCAGGGGAUGCAUGUCCCUUGCUCUAUAGAGGAGUCCGGGAUUUACAUCUUCCACUAUGCCAAGUUCUUCACUGGAGAACACCUUGUAGAAGACAUCGAUGACGAUGGCCUGGUCGUUCUGCGCAAAAGGAUGUUUUAC